AGGCUUGUAGCUCAGCUGGUUAGAGCGCACCCCUGAUAAGGGUGAGGUCACAACGCCGACCGGCUUG
rnacentral:tRNA from 1 species